GCUUGCACAGAUGACGACCGGCGCACGGGUGCGUAACGCGUAUAGAACCUACCUUUUACAGAGGAAUAGCCUUUAGAAAUGAAGAUUAAUGCCUCAUAGUAUUGUAGACUGGCAUCAGUUUAUAAUUAAAGAUUUAUCGGUAAAAGAUGGCUAUGCGUCCUAUUAGUUAGUUGGUAAGGUAACGGCUUACCAAGACAGCGAUAGGUAGGGGUCCUGAGAGGGAGAUCCCCCACACUGGUACUGAGACACGGACCAGACUCCUACGGGAGGCAGCAGUGAGGAAUAUUGGACAAUGGAGGAGACUCUGAUCCAGCCAUGCCGCGUGUAGGAAGAAUGCCCUAUGGGUUGUAAACUACUUUUAUACAGGAAGAAACACUGGUAUGUAUACCAGCUUGACGGUACUGUAAGAAUA
rnacentral:rRNA from 1 species